AUGGCGAUUCAAUGGGAACUGCUUCCAGCGCUGCGUCAGGAUAGCACACAUUCAGUUGCUGCCGUCAGGAUUGCUACCAAAGAAUUUAUCAGCACUGCAGUGUGCUCAAGGAUUCGUGAUGCAGUGCUGCAUUUUGCCAUCAACCACAAGCCACCUGGAGAGACUCUGUCACAUGAACACCUUCAGAGAUGCUCCCAUCUUGUGCUCCAGAUUUUCAACAAUGGCUCCACCUCUCUGUACUCUGAAUUCAUGGGCAUGCUCCUAGCUGCAAAGCAAGAGCAGUCAAAAACGACUGUCCAUAAAUCAACCACGCCUGCAGCAACACUUGUUGUCCACUUGUCCCUCUCAUGA
rnacentral:rRNA from 1 species